GAUGCUACUACCUGGAGGGACUCACCUUUACCAACACCAAGGGAGCCAGCCCUGAGAGUUCAUGCCAAGUCAUCUUUCUCCUGCUUUGUUCCCUGGAACUGAUAAACUGCUGCUUCGAAAAACCAGAAGGCCUUGCCUCUAUUUUGUUUUCAGUUCUACUCCCUAAGAGCCUCAGCAUAAAUAUGAGAGGAGAUAAAGGGAAAGUUAAGAAACUUCUGUUAGCAUUCUGAUGUUCAAACCCAAGUCUUGAUCUUCCUGUUGAGGGCCAUCCAAGAGCACCAUGAUGAAGUGGAAAGAGAUUGUUCACAAGAAUGAUCACUUACAGAAGACUGAGCCCAAGGCCCUUGCUGAUGGAUUCCCAGACUUAUAUGCAUCCGAGAUUGAAGAACUUAAACAUCUUGCCCUUGCCAUGACCACAAAUCAGAGAGUAAUAAAAUUUAAUGUCCAUGGACUUUGACCUUCAAAAGACCAAAGACAGGCUGUUUCAAGAACGCGGUCUUGAACAAUUUGUUGACAUCUUCACAAAAGAAAAAUAAUUCUCUAAAUCAGUAACUGAGUCUCCGGAAGGUUUCUUCUUGGAAACCCCCACAUAGUCUCAUGAGCACCUACAAUGACAG
rnacentral:lncRNA from 1 species